CCAAGAUUCCAGAAAAACAAUCUAGUCAAUGGGGAGAGAGGUGGCUUUGUCAGUUUAGAGAUCAUACAAGCUGCCACAUACUAAAUUUGGCAGCGCUAGAGUAUGGAGUAUGUCUCUAGUGCUGGGAAUUGCUUUAAAAGGCCUGUCACAUAAGAGGGAUUGUAAAUCUUGGAUAUAUGGGAUGACAAAAGAAAUAGCUGUUGCCCAGUUUGGUGAGAUACCCCCUUAUGCCCUUGCCCUCAGUGGUCAGUGUGUCCUUAUGUCCAUAUAGUUCAUGUCUUUUGGGCAUGCACCUUCUCUUGAAAGAAUUUAGGUCGUUCAGUAGACUAGAGAGUGUGGUGUAGUUGUACAUAAAUGGGCUUGUAGACACCAGGAGUGGUUGCCUUCCUUAGGAAUACAUGUAGGUUACUCAUCCCAAGCAGUGAAAUCUAAGGAGAGGGUGGACUCUACUUGGGCUUAGUUAGGGUCUUGGAGAACUGACAGCAGGUGAACUGUACCUUACUAAUAGGGCAGGUGAGAUGAAGGCAAAUACUGUUUGCUUUGCUUUGUUCCAGAUGGAGGAGAUGUAUAAGAAAGCUCAUGCUGCUAUCCGAGAGAAUCCAGUCUACGAGAAGAAGCCCAAGAGAGAAGUGAAGAAGAAGAGGUGUGUGGUUAACCAUUCUCUGGGAAAGAAACCUGCUGCAUCUUGCUGGUCAAAUUCUGUGCAAACUCGAUCACUAGCUCUGCAUGAUGUGGCAGCAGCUAAGGGAACCAGGUUUGCUAGAGUAACUGUGGUGAUAGCAAUGUACCAACCUCAGGAGCUACUGAGGUGCCCAUUCUGUCCCAGAACAGUCCUACAUAA
rnacentral:lncRNA from 1 species